rnacentral:rRNA from 1 species
AACGAACGCUGGCGGCAGGCUUAACACAUGCAAGUCGAACGCCACCUUCGGGUGGAGUGGCAGACGGGUGAGUAACGCGUGGGAACAUACCUUUUGGUUCGGAAUCUUCGCGGGAAACUGGGAGCAAUACCGGAUAAGCCCUUCGGGGGAAAGAUUUAUCGCCAAAAGAUUGGCCCGCGUUAGAUUAGGUAGUUGGUAGGGUAAAGGCCUGCCAAUCCUACGAUCUAUAGCUGGUCUGAGAGGAUGAUCAGCCACAUUGGGACUGAGACACGGCCCAAACUCCUACGGGAGGCAGCAGUGGGGAAUAUUGGACAAUGGGCGCAAGCCUGAUCCAGCCAUGCCGCGUGAAUGAUGAAAGCCUUAGGGUUGUAAAAUUCUUUCCACGGGGACGAUAAUGACGGUACCCGUAGAAGAAGCCCCGGCUAACUUCGUGCCAGCCGCCGCCGUAA